rnacentral:rRNA from 1 species
UCCAGACUCCUACGGGAGGCAGCAGUGGGGGAUAUUGCACAAUGGGGGGAACCCUGAUGCAGCGACGCCGCGUGGGUGAAGGAGCGUUUCGGUGCGUAAAGCCCUAUCGGCAGGGAAGAAGGAGGACGGUACCUGACUAAGAAGCCCCGGCUAACUACGUGCCAGCAGCCGCGGUAAUACGUAGGGGGCAAGCGUUAUCCGGAUUUACUGGGUGUAAAGGGGGCGCAGGCGGCAGCGCAAGCCAGGAGUGAAAGCCCGGGGCCCAACCCCGGGACUGCUCUUGGAACUGCGCGGCUGGAGUGCAGGAGGGGCAGGCGGAAUUCCUGGUGUAGCGGUGAAAUGCGUAGAUAUCAGGAGGAACACCGGUGGCGAAGGCGGCCUGCUGGACUGCGACUGACGUUGAGGCCCGAAAGCGUGGGGAGCAAACAGGAUUAGAUACCCCAGUA